UACGAAGGGGGCGAGCGUUGUUCGGAUUUACUGGGCGUAAAGGGCGCGUAGGCGGCGGCCCAAGUCGAGUGUGAAAGCCCCGGGCUCAACCUGGGAGGUGCGCUCGAGACUGGUUUGCUGGAGUUCGGGAGAGGAGCGUGGAAUUCCCAGUGUAGAGGUGAAAUUCGUAGAUAUUGGGAAGAACACCGGUGGCGAAGGCGGCGCUCUGGACCGAGACUGACGCUGAGGCGCGAAGGCGUGGGGAGCAAACAGG
rnacentral:rRNA from 1 species